rnacentral:rRNA from 1 species
AAAUGACUUAGGGGCGAACGGGUGAGUUAAUACAUAAAUUAACCUGCCCCGAUGUUUGGAAUAACAGUUGAAAACGAUUGCUAAUGCCGGAUAUGAUAUUUGGAAGCAUUUCUUAAUAUUGAAAGAUGGGAUACAUCGCAACGGGAUGGAUUUAUGGCGCAUUAGUUAGUUGGUGAGGUAACGGCUCACCAAGACGAUGAUGCGUAGCCGGCCUGAGAGGGUGACCGGCCACACUGGGACUGAGACACGGCCCAGACUCCUACGGGAGGCAGCAGUAGGGAAUUUUCGGCAAUGGGGGCAACCCUGACCGAGCGACGCCGCGUGAGUGAAGAAGGCCUUCGGGUUGUAAAGCUCUGUUGUAAGGGAAGAACUGUACGGAUAGGGAAUGAUCUGUACUUGACGGUACCUUACCAGCAAGCCACGGCUAACUACGUGCCAGCAGCCGCGGUAAUACGUAGGUGGCAAGCGUUAUCCGGAAUUAUUGGGCGUAAAGGGAGCGCAGGCGGCUUAUUAAGUCUAAGGUUAAAGUUCGGGGCUCAACCCCGUGAUGCCUUAGAAACUGGUAGGCUAGAGUGCAGGAGAGGUGAGUGGAAUUCCAUGUGUAGCGGUAAAAUGCGUAGAUAUAUGGAGGAACACCAGUGGCGAAGGCGGCUCACUGGCCUGUAACUGACGCUGAGGCUCGAAAGCGUGGGGAGCAAAUAGGAUUAGAUACCCUGGUAGUCCAUGCCGUAAACGAUGAGUGCUAAGUGUUGG